rnacentral:rRNA from 1 species
GACAGAGGGUGCAAACGUUGUUCGGAAUUACUGGGCGUAAAGCGCGUGUAGGCGGCAAUACAAGUCGGAUGUGAAAUCCCGCGGCUUAACCGUGGAAGUGCACCCGAAACUGUAUCGCUAGAGUCCCGGAGAGGAUGGUGGAAUACUUGGUGUAGAGGUGAAAUUCGUAGAUAUCAAGUGGAACACCGAUGGCGAAGGCAGCCUCCUGGGCCAGCACUGACGCUCAUGCACGAAAGCGUGGGGAGCAAACAGG